AUUGAACGCUGGCGGCAGGCUUAACACAUGCAAGUCGAGCGGGGGAGGUUGCUUCGGUAACUGACCUAGCGGCGGACGGGUGAGUAAUGCUUAGGAAUCUGCCAUUUAGUGGGGGACAACAUUCCGAAAGGAAUGCUAAUACCGCAUACGUCCUACGGGAGAAAGCAGGGGAUCUUCGGACCUUGCGCUAAAUGACGAGCCUAAGUCGGAUGAGCUAGUUGGUGGGGUAAAGGCCUACCAAGGCGACGAUCUGUAGCGGGUCUGAGAGGAUGAUCCGCCACACUGGGACUGAGACACGGCCCAGACUCCUACGGGAGGCAGCAGUGGGGAAUAUUGGACAAUGGGCGGAAGCCUGAUCCAGCCAUGCCGCGUGUGUGAAGAAGGCCUUAUGGUUGUAAAGCACUUUAAGCGAGGAGGAGGCUACUAGUAUUAAUACUACUGGAUAGUGGACGUUACUCGCAGAAUAAGCACCGGCUAACUCUGUGCCAGCCGCCGCCGUAA
rnacentral:rRNA from 1 species